AUUCUCAUCUACUGUUUCCAAUCUAUCGAACCACUGGUUUCUCUCAUCUUGAACGACUGUUUCAUCUUCUUCAUCGAUCAAAGACUGCAGGUGUCGGGUAAGAUGUUCAUCAACAAUGGCAAGACGUGGAGUGAACAACCGGAGAGCAUUCUCAAUAGCCGUAGCCCUCGAAGGGAAAACAGCAACAUUCUUGCAGAAUGGUCAAGAAUAAGCAAGUCAGGAAUGCAACAUACAUGUUACAAAAGGCUGUAAGAUCAAUACUAUGCAAAUAAGAAGGCUGGUACUUUAUCAAAGGGAAGAACAUAUCUCCAUACAUAUUUAUACUGACAUCCAUUUUACAAGAUAUUGACUGAUGAACAUCUCAUUCAGACAACACAUUUUUGUCAACUCACAUAUUCUUACCUAAUAAUUGAAGUAUGAAAUGUGGAA